rnacentral:rRNA from 1 species
UUUUAUUUGAGAGUUUGAUCCUGGCUCAGGAUGAACGCUGGCGGCGUGCCUAACACAUGCAAGUUGAGCGAUUUACUUCGGUAAAGAGCGGCGGACGGGUGAGUAACGCGUGGGUAACCUACCCUGUACACACGGAUAACAUACCGAAAGGUAUGCUAAUACGGGAUAAUAUAUUUGAGAGGCAUCUCUUAAAUAUCAAAGGUGAGCCAGUACAGGAUGGACCCGCGUCUGAUUAGCUAGUUGGUAAGGUAACGGCUUACCAAGGCGACGAUCAGUAGCCGACCUGAGAGGGUGAUCGGCCACAUUGGAACUGAGACACGGUCCAAACUCCUACGGGAGGCAGCAGUGGGGAAUAUUGCACAAUGGGCGAAAGCCUGAUGCAGCAACGCCGCGUGAGUGAUGAAGGCCUUCGGGUCGUAAAACUCUGUCCUCAAGGAAGAUAAUGACGGUA